rnacentral:lncRNA from 1 species
CCACAAACUAGUUCAACCAAGGAACGCGUGCACAUGGAUGAACCAAUUGAAGGUAAUUUCAAAUUAAUUUUUUAAACUAAUUUGAAGUUUCGAAACGUUGAGUAGAAAUUGAGAUAGUAGAGUUGGAUUGUGUGUUUGGAUGUGAUUAUAUGGAGUUAAAUGUAUCUGUUUCGCGCGGGUAGUCGCUAACAAUUAAAAAUGGAUCAGACGAUUGUGUAAGGGACAAACCUCUUGAGACAAAGUCCCAAAAAGGGGUGUUUUAUUGGCAAUAACUUUACAAUUGGAACUUAAACAGAAAUGCCUCCAAGUGACGCAAGCACACGAGUACUGAAAAGAAAUGUUUUUAGUCUAAACUAAGAAAUUGAAAUUACAUAUUCUCUAUUUGAGAGAGUUUAAUUUGGGCUCUUUUGCUCUUUGUCUUUUCUUCCUUUUAUAAUCCUUUGAUACUCUCUUUGUGAUCAACCACUUAGAAACUGCUUAAUUGAUUUAUAACUGCCCACUUUCUUUAUGGUGGCCAACUUAUCGUGGAACUGCCGUCUGUAAUUGCUGUCAUUACUUUUUGUCGUUCAACCGUCCUCAACUGAACAUCCUUGAAUCGUGGAACGUGAUAAGAUUACCCAAUAACUAUUUUGAUAAUUGUACUUUUGGAUAACCAUAACAUCUCAUGUUUGCUAAGAUCCUGGGCGAUUCGAAAGUUUGGGCGAGAACAGGGUCAUAACUCUGGACGACUGCAAGGCACUUCAUUUGCUCAGAUCCUGGGCGUCUUGUAAGUUUGGGCGAUGGCGUUACCGCAUUCGUGGGCUUCCACUGUAUUCAUUAAUAACCCUAUUUGAGCCUUUAUCCUGAAUUGCCCAAUUGGGUUUCAUUCCUUGGGCUAUUGGAAUUGGGCUGCACUUUUAGCAUGUCAACAAUUAUCCCCCCAAUAUGGCAGAAUUAGUACCAAUUAUUAAUUUUUGCCAUAUUCACUUUGUGUUUUCCAGCAACAUUUGAAAUUUCCAAGAAUUUAAAUCAUUAUUUUCUUCCAUAGCCUGAAAAGGUGCAACGUUACAAACCCUUAUAACCCCCAAAUACACGUCAUUUCAUCGCACUACUAAAUCACGCCUCAUUGCUUCGCGCUUCUCUCUCGCAAUAUUACUAUUCAUCUUCUUGCUUCUUUGCUACGUUUCUCGAGCAAACUUCAACAAAGCUUUAUUUCGUUUCUAAUGGCUGCUUCACAAUUCCAAUCUAGUGACUCUCUUAGUUUCGAAGACUUCUAGAAACUCCUCACUCGGUCAUAUAUAACUCCUAACUUCCUUGCACCAGCCAAUGCCGAACUCAACGAGUUCUAUCUAGGUCCCUCAUUCAAUAACGCUGAGGCCGUCGAACAAGUGGCGGUGGGCCAGCUGUUCCCUUGUACUCAAGGCCUUCCGUUUCUAAACUCUUUGUCGCUGAGGCCGCUUCGCGAAAGAGGUAUUCACACUUGGCCUAAAUCUAAUGUUGUUUUCUGUAGAUGGCAUGCUCGCCUUGUGGACCAUGGUCCUACCAAGGCAAUUUUUGAUAAUGCUAAGAUUUCUGAUUUGCUAGAAAUCUCUCUUCAACCCCCUAUUUUUGAUUCAGCGCUUUUCCCUAUUGCAUUAAGUUUUUGGUCCUCUGAGUAUAAUACUUUUAUUUUCCCUCUUGGUCCCAUGUCCAUUACUUUAAGGGAUGUUGGGGCCUUAGUAAAUUUGCCACCUUUAGGCGAUACCAUUUUCCCUGGUAUUUUGAUUUCUGGUGUCGCCCCAAAAUUUGACAGAAAACUCACCGAGUCCUAUUCAAGCCUGCAAAGCUGUUAUAAUCAUUCGAGCGCUUAGCCUUCCCAUGCUGAGCGUGUGACCUUUAUUCAGAUUUGGCUUUAUAAAUAUGUUCUGUGUGUGCCAAGUAUGAAGCCUUCUAUGAGCUAAUUACCUAUAAUGCACAAAUUGGCGCGUGGCAGGCCCCUGGAUUUGUGUUCUUUCUUUUUGAUCGCCCUCUAUAGAGGCACGACUUCUCUCCAAUUCCAAUUGAAGAAUGAUGCAUCUCCUGCUGGCAGUGGGCCUCUUUGGUUCACUCAAAUGUGGUUGAGAGCCUAUUUUCCCUCACUUGGUGCUCUAUCAUUUUCCCUUCCUUCCGCUAGCUACUAUGGGCUAGCUAUUGGCCAACUGAGCCGUGUAAAUAUGUCCAGAAGGGACAUUUUUUCAUUCUUUUAUACUUUGAAUUCAAUUCCUUUUUUCUUUCCUUUUCCUCCCUUUUUAACUCCAGAUUAUGUGUAAUCCCCAUCCACUCUGGAUAGCGCGAGCACCUCUCUGCUCGUUUGGGUUCGAUUUUUGACCAGAAGGGAGUUGUUCCAUGAUAUUUUGACUGGAACCAAUGCUAAAGCUGGGGUUGAAAUAUAUGCUCCUCAAUUUUUUGCUUGUCAACUUGGUUUUGGCCAUACUUGACCUGUUUCCCCUUGUUAUUCUAGAAAUUUGAUAGAUCGCUUCUACACCAUUAAUAAGGCAGAGGCAGAAGUUAUAGAUGCUCACAAUAUUCUUUUGACAAUUAACUUUUCAUUAGCCCCCUUCAAUCCUUGCCAUGCCAUCCAUCCUCUUUUUGAACAACUCUGGUCACCAGUGCAGCGCAGAUUGUUUGUAACUGAUGCCAAUCGCACUUUCCAUUCACUGGAUCAGCCGGACAUUUCUUUCACUUCUCCUAUUUUGGUCACCCCUGUGUCCAUUAGGAGUCCCUCCUCUUCUGCUCGUGCUAAACAGUCUGUUCGUCCAUCUACUUCUCUUCCUGCCAAGCCCACUGCAGCUAAAAGUGCCCUAAGCUACAAACGGCCAGCUUCAGCAUCUCCCAUUUUGGAGGAGGAUGAUGAUGAUGACACUCCUCUCAUUGUCAAGAGAAAGGUGAUUAAAUUAGUUUACUCACAAGCAUACCUUUCUAUACUUGAAACUUUUUUAUGUGCUGAUGGUUUAUUCGGAUUUCUCAGAAAAGCUCAGCCUUUCCUUUGAAGGUUUUGGUGUUGGCAGCUCCCGUUCCAUCAUCCUCUGAUGAUGCUGCUUCAUCCAAACCAGCUGAUGAAGGGACUACACUUAAAGAGAAACCUUCAUUCCCGGAAUCCUCAUCACAACCAAUGGAUGAGCCAUCUUCUUUCCAGGGCAUCAGCCCUCCAAACGUUGAACCAGAAGGUAAUACAUUUUUUGAUAUUUUACCUUUGCUUGUGAUAUUGGUUUUUGAUUUGUUGCUUUUUGAGUUUUGCAGAUGCUCCUAUGGGUUUGCUCGUUGUGGCAAAGUCUUCUCGCUUAGACAAGGAGAAGUCUUCACAAGUGGUGGAGCCACAGGUGGUAAAUUCGGCUGGGGAUAUGUCACCUCUCAAGAUUGCUGAUGAGGUAAUCUCUGCUUCACUUUUACUUCCACUUUGUUCAUUGUAGUGAAAACCUUCAAUGUUGGCAACUUUCUUUGCAGAAUGCUGAUAAAAUUUUGCGUUCCAUCCAGGACUUGUUCACUUCCUGGGGGCAAGUCAAGACGUCUCGCCCUGCUUCAACCAGUCGUCCUUCUGCUUCUUCAAAUGAAGACAUGAAGUUCUUUAAGCAGUCAAUAUUUGAGUAUGCGUCCUUUAUGAAUAUGGACAUUGGUCAGGCUAGUGCUGCCAAACAUAAGGAUAAGUUUGAGCAUUUGAAUGCGAAAUUGGAGCAAGCACUGACACUUCAGUCGCUCAAUCUUUCUGCUAAUUUUAAAGCGAUGUUGAAAGUUGUCCAUUUCGAGAUUCUCUCCUUGCUGGCCAAAAAUAUUGAACUGAAGGCCAAAAGUACUCAAUAUCUUGCGCUGUAUCUGAAAGAGAAUCUUUGCUUCUGGAGAUCAGCAAAGCUGAGGACGAAUUGAAAGAAAUAUCUUCUGAAGUCAUGAUUGAAGACUCUUUGAUCACCAGUUUGGCUACACAGAUGAAGGAGUUUCAAGCAAAGAUGGACGACUGCAAGGCGAGAAUGGCUGCUAAAAUACGUAAUGCCUCCCAAGGAAUUGAGCGAACCAAGUCUUUGGUCGAGCAGUACAAGAAGCUGAAAGUUGAUGAUAAUUUUGUGGCCGAAUUGAAUGUCACUUCUUCUCAGCAGAGUGAGAAUUGGGGAAGACUUAGGAAAAGAAUUUGUUCAGUCUGAGGCGAUUUGUAAUUAAGACAUCUAAUGCCUUAACUUUUCUUUUUGUAAUUUCAUAUUAAUUUUCCCCUUGUAACCUCGUACUGAAUUCUGAAUAUACCAGUAACCAUUAUCAUUAAUGAACGAUUAACUUGUCUUCGUGUGUAUUUAUUGACGUUGUCUUUAAUCGUCAACCCCCCAAACAUUUAACUACUUUAUGCUAAGAUUCACGCACAUUUUCUCUUGGUAUUUCUGUCUCUUUCCCCAAGAUUUCGGGCCAUUUGAUUCUAGUUACUAGAUACGAAUGUGGCUGUUCAUAUUCUGUCUCUUCACAUUCACGCUUCUAUAAAUGCACUUAUAUUCCACACUUGUCAUUUUCACCUGCAUUCUCUUCUUCAAAACCAAUUUGCUGCCAUUGUUCCGCAUUUUGACAAUCGAUCCAAAACCUUUGUUUCCCAUGGAAAUAGAUUAUUUGAUCUGCCCAUUUUGCCAUCUUUCUUGAUGUCGCCUUUGGUAUGGGAGAUAUGAAAAAUAUUCUUUGGCCAGCAAAGUUCUUCCCAUCGUCUCCAUGUUCCUUACAAGGAGUUCGAUGAUGGAAGACAAUUUUUGAGGACGCUUGCAAGCCACCUUACUUGUUGAGAGUGCUUCUUAGCUUCCUUGCUCGUCAUUGCAGCGAUGCAUUUAGGAAGGCGAUGUGAGGGUGCUUCAUCUUCCUUUCUGCUUGCUGAGAGUGCUUCUCGGCCUUUCUGCUUGUCUUUGCAGCAGUGCGAUCAGGAUGACAAUCAAGGCCAGUACACCCUCUUACUCGACGAUCGACCGGGAGAUUAGUUUGCUCUUAAUUGUAGUUUAUAGAGCAUUUAGCAUCUUGUAUUUUACAACUUCGUAAUGAACGUUUGAUAAUAAAAGAAUUUAUUUGAACGUAUUUCGCUCUGGGCCUUUUUAUUCUACGAUCGUUCAACGCGAUUUGAUUACGCUUUUAUUUGUUCACUUUCCCAUAAGGAAGGAACAUAUUUUUUUAAAUAUUUGCCAUUAAUGAACCUCAUGUGCUUGGUGCCGUCUAAAUCUUCCAAAUGAUAGGCUCCAUUAGGCAACGCAUUAUUUACUUUAUAUGGUCCUUCCCAAUUGGGCGACCACUUGCCAUACCUUGGAUCUUUGCUAUCCAAAGGGAGUACUGUUUUCCAAACCAAUUCGCCCAGGUUGAAUGACUUGGCUAUAACUUUUUUAUUAUAAAAUUUAGCCAUUCUUCGUUUUUGAAUUUGCAAUUUAUUUAGGACGUCCAACUUUAAUUCGUCCAACUCCAAUAAGUUUUGAACUAGUGAUUCGGUAUACUCAUCACUACUUAACUUAUGUUGCAAACACACUCUGAACGAUUGCAUGUUGAUUUCCAUAGGCAAAACGGCCUCUUGUCCGUAAGUAAGUUGGAAAUGAGUAAUUUUUGUACUUGACCGAGGCGACGUCCUAUAAGCCCAUAAGGCAUUGUUUAGACAUUCGUGCCAAUUUCUGGCAUUUUCAUCUAUCAUUUUCCUUAUGAUAUUUUUUAGAAUCUUAUUAGAAGAUUCUGCUUGCCUGUUGGAUUGAGCGUAAUAUGGUGUGGAGUUCACUAAUUUAACUCCAAACUCGCUCAAGAAUUUAUUCACUUGAUCCCCAUUUAAAGAUGUUCCGUGAUCUACCAUCAAAGUUUGUGGAAUUCCAAAUUUAUAAAUGAUGUGAUCACGGAUAAAUUCUAUGACAUUCUUUUGGGUGAUCUCUUUUAAAGGUACCGCUUCUACCCACUUAGUGAAAUAAUCAGUCGCAACUAUAACAAAGGUAUGUUGCUUGGAUGAUGGGGGGUAAAUCUUCCCUAUUAGGUCUAUCGCCCAACCCUUAAAUGGCCAAGUUUCAGAAUAGGUGUCAUCUCUCGUGCUGGCGCCCUUUGUAUUGGACCAUGCUUUUGGCAUGUUAGACAACCCUUUGCAUACUGAACGCAUGAUUCUCCCAUUUUUGGCCAAAAAUAUCCACUCCUAAUAAUUAACCAUCUCAUCCUUUGGACAACUUGAUGAGCUCCACAUAUUCCUUCGUGCACUUCAGUCAUGAUCGUCAUGACUUCUUACAAACUUACACAUUUUAGCAAUAUACCAUCAGAGCAUUUCUUAAACAACUCUUCAUCUAUUGGUGCAUAGUUUAGCAAAUACAACUUCAUUUUUCUACUAUCUCCUUUAUUAGGUUCUUUAAGGAACUCCUUAAUCUCUGCCCUCCAAUCUAUUGCAUCUCCAUCUUGUAUGCAAUGAAUUUCAAUCGUUCUUGCCCUUCUUUGGAUCACGGGCAAUAUUGUUCCAUACUCACAAGUGGAUUUCCAAUUUAAAACCUUUGAGUACCCUAAGGCGACUGGGCCAAUUCAUUUGCUACGUCAUUAUAUAUCUUAUUAACACAUUGAAGCCCUAUUUGGUCGAAUUCUUCCAACAACUCUUGGGCGAUUUCAUAUUGACUUAUAAUGGAAUCACUUUGACAUUUAAAAUCACCAAUCAAUUGGUGAAUUACCAAUUGAGAAUCACCUCUAACGAUCACAUUCUUUAUCCCCAUAUCUAUCAUUAAUUCUAGCCCCACGAUUAAGACUUCGUAUUCGGCCUGAUUGUUGGUGCGCAUUCUGUCCAAAGUAAAUGCGAACUUGUAACAAAUCCCUAAAGGAUUUAUCAAUACUACCCCUACUCCUGCACCUUUAGAGGUUUUCGAUCCAUGGAAAUAUAAAACCCAAGGUUUUAAUUCGAAGGAAUUGAUCUCUAACUCAAUUUCUUCAAUCGUAUUAAGGCAUGGAUGAUCGGCCAGAAAAUUAGCUAAAGCUUGAUUUUUGACUGCCUUUUGGGUACGUAUUGUACUUCGAAUUCUAAUAAGGCUAAUGUCCAAAGGCCUACCCUUUGGUGCAAAAUAGGGCGAGAGAACAUAUACUUAACCAAAUUUACUUUAGAAAUUAAAUAAACGGUUACAGGCCGUAAAUAAGCCCUUAAUUUUGUACAUGUGAAAUACAAUGCAAGACAUAAUUUUUCAAUGGCAGAAUAAUUACAUUCACAUUUUGUUAACCGUCUACUUAAGUAGUAAAUCGCCCUUUCUUCACCAAAUUGGUCUUCCUACGCGACCAUUUCAGCUAUUGAUUCUUCUUCAGCCGAUACAUACACUUUCAUUGGCCGUCCUUGGAUUGGUGACACCAACACUGGUGGACUUGAUAAAUAUGUCUUUAGGCUUUCAAAAGCCUUCCGAUGCUCUUCUUUCCAGAGGAAUUCGUUCCGAUUUUUCAAUUUUAAAAGCGGCGAAAAAUCUUUAAUUCGCCCUGCACAGUUAGAAAUAAAGCGUCUUAAAAAGUUUACUUGACCUAGAAACUUUUGCAAUUCUUUUUUAUUGCUAGGUGGUUUGACCUCUAAAAUGGCCUUCGCUUUAUUUUUAUCAAGUUCAAUUCCCCUUUUGUGUACUAAGAAACCAAAAAAAUUCCCUGCAUUAACACCAAAUGCACAUUUCAAGGGAUUCAAUUUUAGUUUAUAUUACUUCAUUCGCUUAAAUGAACAUCUUAAUUGUUCAAAAUGGUUCUCUUCUUUAAGGGAUUUGACCACUAUAUCAUCUACAUACACUUCAACAAACUUGCCUAUCAUAUCAUGAAAGAUAAAAUUCAUUGCCUCCUGCAUUUUUCAGGCCGAAAGGCAUAACUACCCAUUCAAAACAUUCUAGAGACCCAGGGCAUAUAAAGACAGUUUUGUGUAUAUCUUCCUCAGCUAUGUAAAUUUGAUUGUAUCCUAAAUACCCAUCCAUGAAGGAAUACAUUACAUGUCUGGCAGUCGAGUCUACUAAAAAAUUUACCGUGGGCAUUGGAUAUUCAUCUUUAGGUGUGGCUAUGUUUAGAUUCUUAAAGUCUAUGCACACCCUUAGUUUACCAUUCUUUUUUAAUACUGGCACGAUAUUGGACAAGCAUUCAACAUAUCUGGUCGUUCUAAUUUCAGGGAGUACAUUAGGAACGAAAUGCCUAAGAGGCUACCUAUGAGGUUUAAAAUUAGGCUUGGUUGGUAAUCUAUAUUCCACCAAAUCUCUACUUAAACCAGGCAUAUGUUCAUAUUCCCAAGCAAAACAAUCUUUGUACUCCUUUAAUAAAGCGAUUAAUUUAUCACUAGCAUCUUGAUUGAGCAUUUGGCUGAUGAAUGUUGGGCGAUCUUCUCAUUCAUUGCCAAUAUUCACUUUAAUCAGGGGGUCUUGUGCUUGAGCGUAUCCAGGUUUGGCGAUCCUUAUCACUUUGUCGUCCAGAUCCCUUGUAGGCACUUAUUUUUCUAAAUAAUCCACCUUGUUGACUUCUCGGCCAAUACUUUGUUCCAACUCUAACACUGUCAAUUUGUCUCUUUAUGCUUUCAAAGCUACUGCUUCUUUCGCCUUGUCCUCGCAUUCUUUAUUGAAAGCCAUUAAUUUGGCUUUGAAGGCCUGAAUAUCGGCCAUUUGUUUUUGUUGCUUACAACUUAUUUAAAACUCCUUGAUUAUUCUUUUGCCAAUUACUUGCUCCUCCAAGGCCACUAUGUUUGGCCUCAUCUGACCGAACAUUUCAGUGAGUGCAUCCACCGAAAACGGCUCUUCACUUUGCGCGACAAUCUGAGUUUCUUCUCCAUCUUGAACUAUUCUGACAGGUCCAUAAUUUCUUUCGUACAUGAACAUUUCUACUGAAUUUGCUUUUGUGACAAAAGGCCUAUGAUCGGCCUGCACCACCUCUGUUUCGCCCUUGUCAUUCCAAAAAACUAGGCACUGGUGGAGCGAUGAAGGUAUACAAUGACUUCCGUGUAUCCAAUCUCUUCCUAAUAACACAUUGUAACUAGUGGGACCAUCAAUUACAAAGAAGACGGUGGUCCUAGUAGUUGUUCCUAUAGUUAUGUCCAAUGGCAUAACCCCUUUGGCUGAAGUUGCUCCUCCAUUGAAACUCGUCAGGAUGACUUCCGUUGGGAUCAUAUCUGCUUCUGUCUUUGCGAAUUUCCUCAUCAUCCUAGAUGGAAUGGUGUUUAUAGUUGCUCCAUUAUCGACAAGCACUUUUGCCACAGGUAUGCCGUUAACUAGAGCUUUAACGUACAAUGACCUCAAGUGUUUGGUCAAUUUCAUGGCUGGUCGCUUAAAAAUAACUUUCUCGACAAUACCUACUUCCACUUCCUGCUUGUCCCCCGUCGAGUCACCCUUUUGUGAUAGGUCAACGUGCAGCAUAUCGCACUGAGCCUCUGUCUCCUGAAUUUCCUUUUUACUGUUUCUAAUGCUUCUUCUUCAAUUACCCAACCUGUGGGAGGAGGCAUUAUUCUUGGAGGUGAUCCAUACUUUUCAGAGCGAGGCACUCUCUUAUUCCUUUUGGGCAUUCCGUACAACACGUAAAAAUCGAAAGAACGCCCAAAUGGUUCUCCCAAUAAGUCUACUUCACGAACUUCCUCUCGAUGUAGUUGCUUCAACAGAGUAUUGUACGAUACUCCUCUUCUUCUUCUUCCUGCCUCUAGAUCGAUUUCUUCUUCGAUGUCUGUCAUACCAUCAUCUUCUUCACCAUUGUAGGCCUCUCUAGAAGUUUGGCCUUCUUCAUAUUCCAGCAUGCAUGCUUUUUCUAUGUUAUCCUCCAUUUCUUCUUCUCCCUUCUCUUUAUUCUUGAACUUAUUGGCUAGUAAAUAGUUAUUAGCUACGACAGGAGGUAACGUACCAAACUGAAUAGUAAGGGCUGAUCUGGAUCUUCUCCAUCCCUUCUGUCUCGCUCAAACUUCGAUCUCCCAGAAGAAGUUUCUGGCAAUUCUUCCAUAGGUUCGCCUGUUCCAGUCUCUUUACUAUCUUUGAGAACAUUUUGAUUGACUGCCUCGAGUAGUCUAGGUGCCUUUAGACGUAGCGUUCCCUGUUGUUGCCUCAUCUUUCGCCCAUAGUUCCGUUGAAAACUCCUUUAUUGGGUUCUAGUCAUUUCGUUGAAAGGUAUUGCCCUUCCUGCUUUAUACUGGAACGAAUGCCAUACAUUUGGUUGGCGAGGUUGCAGUCUGUAUGUUCUUCCAUUAUUUACUAGCCUGAACUGCCUCUCAAAAGACGGUCCCUUAUAGAACGAUGUACCAUACCCUCUACCAGGCUGAGCGUUUGGAAAAAAACUAAGGCGAUGGUGAUGCUGUCAUACCCCUGGUUUCUCUGUAUUUGCACUCACUUCUUUUUUGCACCUUGCACAUAGGACUUCUUCGUCCUUUUUGGGCUCCUUCCCUUUGAUUCGUUCAAAGACGCUGGGAUGUGGUCUAGCUUUUUCUUCUCCAUCAUCUAUAACCAACUUGAAUUUUUGCAUCUUGUUUCUGAAACCAGACGUCACCAUGUUCACUCCAAGUGGCCGUGGAAAAGGAUUUUUAUCCACUGCCAUCUUCCUCUUAUUUUCGAACGUAAUUCGUCCUUUUUCAAUGGCAUCCUGUAACACAUGGCGAAAAAUCAAACAAUUGUUAGUCAAAUGUGACCAUGCAUUAUGCCACUUACAAUAUUUUUUACCCUUAAUUUGUUCAGGGCUUGGCAAUUUAUACUUAUCACUCAGCUUUAUCUGCUUAUCCUUAUAUAAUUUAUCAAAUAUAAGGUCAGCUUUGAUUACAUCGAACGAGAACGUUCUAGCCUUUAUGUUUUCAUCUUUUAUAGGUUCAUCUUUGCCUGACGGUCUAGGUUUAGCCAUUAUAGGACAAGUAUAUGUGUCUCCUUUAACUAAUUCGGCCAAACACGUUUCGGUUUGAUCGUAAUACUCGUCGUUAAUGGUAUGAACAUCAAAAUUUGGGUCUCUAUAAUAAGUCCCUUUGCUGAAAUUUUUCAUUUGUUCUUCCUCUCUUAUUAAUCGUUCAUACACAAUCACGUCCGUGCUCAAUUGGAAAAGAUCAGGAAAUUCCUUGUCUUGGAACUUCUUCUUCAAAUCAAAGCUUAGACAACCUUGAGCGAUUUUGACAAACUCCUUUUUGGGCAAAGGUACAAAACAUUUACUUCUUGCUGUUUUGAACCUUUGAAAGAAACCUUCUGCCCAUUUGUUUGGCAUUUGACGUAGAUUCGCCAAAUCGACCAAAGUAACUUCAGACUCAGUCUUAUAAAACUGAGCGUGGGACAAUUGCUUCAAUUGUUGCCAUGUUUGAAAAGAGUUUGCUAGCAAAUUGAUAAACCAGGAGAAGGCUACUCCUGUUAAUGAAUUUGGGAAUAACCUCAUUUUAUGGUAAUCAGUUAUGUCAUCACUUUAUAGUGUGAAUCGCCCUAUGGUUCUAGAGUAGACACCUCUCCUAAACCGGUAAACAGUGAGAAUUCUGGCACUUUAUACCCUCUAGGCCACGGAUAUGCUUGGUCUACCCAAUCAGGAUAUGGCUUUGUGUAAGUCGACCUAAUGACAUGACGUACUCCGAAAGCUAUCUGGUCCUGUAUGAUUUUCACAAUCUAAUUCCUCAACAUGACGUUAGGGUCAUAUGGAAUCCCUACAGGUUCGUUGAUCGGUUGAUUUGCUUGAAACCUGAUGUUUGGUCCUUGAUUGGGAACAAAGUUACCAUGAUUUGGGCCAUUAUUACCAUUAGCCUGAACAUUUAUUCCUUCAUUAAUACGUGGGGUAUUCUUUCAAUUAUUUAGGAUAUUAUCUCUUACAUUUGGAUUACCCCCCAAGUUAGACGUACCAAUGCCACUAUUCUGAUUUGGUAUUGCACCACCCCCCUGGUUUGAAGUAGAGGGAUCAAAAGGUGGUUCUACCCCUUGAUUUAAACUUAGAACUGGAGGAUUAUGUCCUACAAUUAUCCUAGUUUGAAAGUGGUUUGUAAGAGGCACAACUGGCUGACAAAUUUGGCCUAUCAACUUAUUCAUUAUUUCGUUCAAAGUAUUCAGUUGUUUGGCCAUGUUGUCAUAAUGUGCAUUCCCAUUCUGGGUAAAUCUUUCUAUAUUAUGAAUACUUCGUAGAUUUACCUGUUCAAUGACAUCUUGUAUGAGUUCUCCGAGUAAUGCAUGCAUGAUUCAAGGACUCAACUCUGUCAUUGGUUCGUAGCGACUGUGAUUGCUCUGAUCUUGUCCAUCUAUUCGUGGAGAGCUAUGCUGCUCCUCAUAUCGCUCGAUCAUAGACUGGACUCCUCCCUGGCUUGCUGUUUUCUUAUCGGAUUUCUAAGGCAUAUUGUUUCACCUUUUGUAUCUUCAACACCAAACACCAAUGUCCCACUGGACGUGCCAAAUUGUUUCGCACGGGUAGUCGCUAACAAUUAAAAAAGGAUAAGACGAUUGUGUAAGGGACAAACCUCUUGAGACAAAGUCCAAAAAAUGGGUGUUUUAUUGGCAAUGACUUUACAAUUGGAACUUAAACAGAAAUGCCUCCAAGGGGCGCAAGCACACGAGUACUGAAAAGAAAUAUUUUUAGUCUAAACUAAGAAAUUGAAAUUACAUAUUCUCUGUUUGAGAGUUUUUGAUUCGGGCUCUUUUGCUCUAUAUCUUUUCUUCCUUUUAUAAUCCUUUGAUGCUCUCUUUGUGAUCAAUCGCUUAGAAACUGCUUAAUUGUUUUAUAACUGCCCACUUUCUUCAUGGUGGCCAACUUAUCGUGGAAUUGCCGUCUGUAACUGCUGCCAUUACUUUUUGUCGUUCAACCGUCCUCAACUGAUCAUCCUUGAAUCGUGGAACGUGAUAAAAUUACCCAAUAACUGCUUCGAUAAUUGUACUUUUGGAUAACCAUAACAUCUCAUUUUUGCUAAGAUCCUGGGCGAUUCGAAAGUUUGGGCGAGAACAAGGUCAUAACUCUGGGCGACUGCAAGGCACUUCAUUCGCUCAGAUCCUGGGCGUCUUGUAAGUUUGGGCGAUGGUGUUACCGCGUUCGUUGGCUUCCACUGCAUUCAUUAAUAACCCUAUUUGGGACUUUAUCCUGAAUUGCCCAAUUGGACUUCAUUCUUUGGGCUAUUUGAAUUGGGCUGCACUUUUAGCAUGUCAACAGUAUCACUGCGUUUAGUGUUACGGAUUUUGUCUGUUCCCUAGACCGUAAAAAUUGGUUAUUAUUUUAAUUUUGAUUGUUGCUUAUAAGUUGUACUUAGUAAAUUUUAAUUAACUAUAAACAUGUUUUCACUCUCAAAAGUUGAGUAAUUUAAUAGAUUAAAAAAACUAUAAAAUUUCACUCAUAAAAUUAGGCUCUUGUACUUUUGAAUGCUUUAUAGUUGGUUUUGAUGCUUGUUGGAAAAUUAAUGUAUUACCAGUACAAUGUAUUAUUGAUUUUGCUACUUUCUGAAUUCAUGAAAAGUUUGACUAUCAAUUUCCUGAUUUUUUUGUCGAGAUAGACAUACCACAUUUUGAGGUCGUGCAGAUUUUUAGCUCCGCGGUCGAGUUCAGAGAGGGUGCAUCUUCGGCAAGCAAUGUCGCACAAGAGAUGUCUUCCAUUUCAUGCCUACACCAAUGGUUGUGUGUGAAAUAGAAAUGGUUCGUAUUACAUCCAGUCCAGCAGUUAUGAUGCCCAUUGGUGAUGAACUUGAACUUGGACAUUCCGUUGCAUCUACUAUGCCAACUGUUGAAGUUAACUUUGAAGAAAUGGUUGACGAAAUACAACACAUGCACGAGGCUAAAUCGUCGAAGCUGAGAGCAAUAAGGGCACGAGCAAGAAGAAUUGUAAAGACAAUACUAGAGCUACAUCCGUUCAGUGUAAAGGUGGUGACAGUGUUUUGUAGUGCAAUGCACAAGAACGUUGAUUACUAGAUGGAGUUAGAAUAUUUUUAUGCUAGGAAGGAAUUUGUAUUUAUCGUUCGUGUGAAUCUAUAGUAUUUGUCUUCAUGAGUAAACCUUUUUCUAGCAAAUGGUGCUUUUAUCGAAAUGCAAUUUUUUUUUUGAGCUUGAAAUGCAGAUUCUUUAAAUGGAUUGGAAUGAAUCAUAUUAGAAAUACUGUGAAUGUAUAAUAUCAUCGAA